AGAGCGAACGCUGGCGGCAGGCCUAAUACAUGCAAGUCGAACGGACCCUUCGGGGUUAGUGGCGGACGGGUGAGUAACACGUGGGAACGUGCCCUUUGGUUCGGAACAACUCAGGGAAACUUGAGCUAAUACCGAAUGUGCCCUUUGGGGGAAAGAUUUAUCGCCAUUGGAGCGGCCCGCGUCUGAUUAGCUAGUUGGUGAGGUAAAGGCUCACCAAGGCGACGAUCAGUAGCUGGUCUGAGAGGAUGAUCAGCCACACUGGGACUGAGACACGGCCCAGACUCCCACGGGAGGCAGCAGUAGGGAAUCUUGCGCAAUGGGCGAAAGCCUGACGCAGCCAUGCCGCGUGAAUGAUGAAGGUCUUAGGAUUGUAAAAUUCUUUCAGCGGGGACGAUAAUGACGGUACCGCAGAAGAAGCCCCGGCUAACUUCGUGCCAGCAGCCGC
rnacentral:rRNA from 1 species